AGAAAGAGAUGAGAUGCUGGUGAGAGAGAACGAGGCAGGAAAAGGAGAGAAGGAAUACUAAAUAUAUUUUUCCAUUUAUGUGAUGAAUGUGUUCACAGUACACAAACCAUAGUGUGUGUGGUAGUAAAGAGGAGCAGCACUAGAGGCAUUUUCCAUAGACUGAAGGCAAGAAGGUGGAGGAGGGGUGCUUUUAAGUAAAGACAGCUAAGGUGAAUCCUGAACCGCCAGAAGUAGACAACCAAGUGAAAGAAGGGGAAAGCGUUCCAGACAGAGGUGGGGGAGAAUCUGCAAAGGCACUGAGACCCAAGAAGUCACUGGUUCCUCGGGAGUACAUGUGUUCAAUAAGACUGAAAUCUAUGGUAUAUGGUGAAGGAACUGGGAAAAAACGUGGCCCUGGAGAUAUAAAGAGCUAUGACACGUAAAGAGCUUGAAAGUCUAAACUCCCAUCCUUAAAGCAAGAAAAAGCUGAACAAACUGAAAAGAAAUAAUUUUCUUGGACUCACCAGAGAAUUGUCACUGGGCAAAACCUACUCCAAAAUCUGGGUAAUAGGCAAAUACAGAGAAUCACGGCUGAGAUCAGUUUAGCUGGAGUAGAAGACACUGGAGCCACAAACUGGGUAUAGAGCGUCUAUGAGAACUGAAUUUCUUAUCAAGACACUCUCAGAUGCCUUUAGAAAAGAGAUGAAUCUCCUUGCUGUCC
rnacentral:lncRNA from 1 species